rnacentral:lncRNA from 1 species
GCAUAACUGUGGACGGUUACGAUAAAAAUCCUAUAUGUUAUUUUACAUGAUGAUCCUUAUACAUGUUUAUGAUGCAUGAACUGUCAAUAGAAUCCAUAAUUAGCUUACCAUAUAGGCCUUAUAUACUCUCAUAAAUAGGAAAGAAGAUUUAGCUUACCAUGAAUAACUUUCUAAGAUCACUCUUGUUUUUUGGUUUCCUUCUAUAACCAGUAGCCAGCCUGGUUUCCCUGUAUAGUUAGUUUCCUUGUAUAAACCAGUAAUUGGCCUAAUAUGUAAUGGUGACCUGCUGAAAUGUAAUUCAUUCCAAAUUCUAACUAUUUUAUCAUUGUAUCAGAGCCCUCUCAGUCAUAGUUUUCUAAGAACUCCCAGCCAUGGUUUUCUUUCUCAAUUGUAGUCUUAGUCCUUAUGGAGAAAUCAUAUAAUGUUUGUGUCAAAUUCAAUGGCAAAAAUUAUACUGCUUAGGAGUUUUCAUUGGAGACUUUUCUCAAUGGUAAAGAGCUGUAUUUUCUUUCCUUAUCUUGAUGGUUAUGUCUCUGCCAAAAAAGCACUUCUAUUUGGUAGGACUUUUGCUUUGUGCAGUGUCUUUCUUUCAUAAACAGUUUUGGCAACUUGCAGUAUAAUGUAGCGUGAAAAGCAGCUGAGCAUCCUUUAUCAAAAAACAAGGUCGAACAACCCCUUUUCCAACAAAGCUACUCGUGAUAAAAGGCUGCAAAAGAAAAAUGAUGAUUUACAACGUCCUUUUUCUUUAAAUUUGGCACUGACAAGAGUUCAGAUUAGUCUAUUAUGAUACUUUAACAUCAAUGCGGAUGUAUGAUGGUAUUGUCAAAAUCUUCAUAUAGGUGGCACUUUCUUAUCUCAUGCUCAUCAUUUAAUUAGGAAAGGACUAGGCCCUCUUAUAAGAUAAUUCCAUGAUCAAAACACAAUGUUAAGGUUUUUUUCUUUUUUAUUAUCUUUUUUGAAUUGUUUAGGUAUCUUUAGUAAAUUGGACUU